AAUGUGUACAGGAGGAACUUGUGCAGGUUCACGUUCAUCCACUUUAUUUACAAAAUUAUAGGAAGACUAGCCCUAUGGUUUGUCUCUCUCUCUACUUUUCUAGUUACAUAUAUUAAUAUAAUAAUAUUAUAUUAUUUCCUAUUUUCUCUAGUUUUGAGGGGAGUUCCACCGAAAAAAAAAAAAGUGGGGAGGCAAUUCAAGUUGACAAUAUAUAUAUAUAUAUAUAAAAUAUAGUAUAUUUAUUUGCUAUUCUAUUACUAACCACUAACAAAAAUGGAUUCUUGGUAAUAUUAAACAUAUUAUUAGUGGAAGGCUGUUAGUAAUACUAAUACUUUUCUUAUCUUAUUCAGUGGUGGUUUUUAUUCCCACAUUUAUUUUAUUUACUGUAUGGUGUAGGUUUAUUACCCAUACAACAGUAUCUAUUUAAAAGGGUGGUGCGGGUUUAUCGUCCACGCCUUUACUUUUAUUUAAAUGUAUGGAGCAGAAUUAGUGCCCAUACAAGCACGUUUACUUUAUCGCAAAUUUACUUUUACUUAAAGUAUGAUGUGGAAUUGACCCUCAUACUUUAUGAAAUUUACUUUAUGAAAUUACUUUACUGUACAUUAUUUACUGUAUGGUGUAGGUUUAUUACCCAUACGACAGUAUUUAUUUAAAAGGGUGGCGCGGGUUUAUCGCCCAUACCUUUACUUUUAUUUAAAAGUAUGGAGCAGAAUUAGUGCCCAUACAAGCACGUUUACUUUAUGAAUUUAAUUUACCGCACAUUUAAUUUUAUUUAAGGUAUGGCGGGAUUAACGUCCAUACAUCAAGCAAUUUAAUUUAUGAAUUUAUUUUACCGCACAUUUACAUUUAUUUAAAGUAUGGUGCGGGUUUAUCGUCCAUACCAGUAAUUUAUUUACCAACAAUUUAUUUUAUGGAUUAAUUGUGCUGUAUGAUGAGUUUUUACAGUAUGCAGAUCAGGACCAGAAGUUCCUUGAUCCUCAUCAUACAAUUACAUCAGGACUUGAAGAUCCUUGAUGAUGAUGUUAAUAUGAGAGCUGGCAGUCUCUCCGGUACUAUAUUUGUAAACAUGUGAUUGGACUUGAGGGUCUUUGAUCCCUGACAUGUAAAUAAGGACCUGGGGUUCCUUAAUGAUGUAACAGUACCGUAUUGGUUCAUAAUGCCGUACACAUGGAUG
rnacentral:lncRNA from 1 species